rnacentral:rRNA from 1 species
CAGUAGCCGCGGGAAUACAGAGGAUGCAAGCGUUAUCCGGAAUGAUUGGGCGUAAAGGGCUCGCAGGCGGUCUCUUAAGUCUGAUGUGAAAGCCCCCGGCUCAACCGGGGAGGGUCAUUGGAAACUGGGAAACUUGAGUGCAGAAGAGGAGAGCGGAAUUCCACGUGUAGCGGUGAAAUGCGUAGAGAUGUGGAGGAACACCAGUGGCGAAGGCGACUCUCUGGUCAGCAACUGACGCUGAGGAGCGAAAGCGUGGGGAGCGAACAGGAUUAGAUACCCCCGUAGUCCCUGUCUCUUAUAC